AGGCACCAAAUGAAGGACAAACAAAAGACGCCUUGACCACUUUCCAGCACUCCCCUUGUCAAUAAGUCCAUCCGUCCGUUCUGUCACAAUUCAUUACGGACACUCAGGAAAAUAUAUAUAAAGUUUUUGUUUUAGAUUUCGUGACAAAUGUACAAAAUGUACAAAAAUGGCCCAGGUCUAGGCCCGAAUUGACUGUGCAUGGACAAGUGGAGCAGGCCGGAUGGGCUGUCUGACUGUCGCAGCCAAAAAGGAUUACUUAUCGCAUAUUUUGACAUAAGUUAAGUUCAUCACUGAAAUACGAGAGUCAAUUGUCCAAUGCCCGAAUAUGUUGGGGGGUUAAAUCCGACGGGCAGACAGCAGCGAGAGAGAGAGAAAGAGCAAGAGAGGGGCAGCCACUUGGUCGUGUGAUGGGUGAAUUGUGAUAAGCCGACCGUCCGACAGGACAGGACAGCAAGGUCUGGGGUUGAGGGUCCACCACCGAUUGCUCCUUUGUUUAUAGGCCUUCUACGCCUUGUUUAUUUGCAUUUGCCUGUUUGUAUUUGCACUGAAAUCGAGGCAGGAACAGGACGAUGGCUUCGGUUUCGUUAAAUUGGCAAAAGUCUGCAGCACAAUUGACAGCUUAGGGUAGCGACAGCCGGACUUGCAAAACAAUUGAUGGACUUUCUGGACAUAUGCACGGAGCUUUGCUUUGAUUUUUUGUACUUAUUUAAAAUGCGACUGCUAAUAAUGCUUUAUUCUACACAGCCUAGAAAGGGACAAUGGCAAAGAAUUUAAUUCCGGUUUAAAUGUAGUUCUAUUUUUCGGCUUCCAGCUGCCAUUGUUAAGUAAAUGUACGGGGGCGUAAAAGGGUUCGAAAUCGCUUCGAAUCCUUAUAAUACUUUCCUUAACUUUUGAUUGCGUAAAAAGCUUUUCGUUACUUCGACUAAGGAAGCAGAGAAAAAAGUAAACAAUUACCUAUUUUUAUAAUACUAGGCAGACGAUCUGCCCAGAUUUCUCUUUAAA